AACAGGUGGAAUUUGGAUAUGGUGGGGCGGAGGGGUAGGCAGAGCAGGGGAGAGGAACAUCGUGAUAGUGGUACUCAAAUUACUAAGUUUUAGAAAACACUAUCACGGGGCCUUUCAGGAGCCUGGAGACAGAUGGAGGGGAAGACAGAAGAGAGAUUAAGGAGAAGAAUGGUUUCAUUUGGAAGGACACUGACUAAGGAAAAACAGAGAAAAGGAUGAAACCCAAGCCAACUCUGCAACUCUAUUAAAAACACCAAGACUUCAAUAUAAUCUCCUUAAAGGGAGGCAGUGCAUUCUUCAUGGCUAGAGCUUCAGCAGCUAUCUAGAACCAUAUGGUGGAAGCCACUUACUGAGAACUGUGAAACAAGAGCCUGGGUCCCUGACAUAUGAAGCCACCAUACCUACCUUAAAGUGUCUUUCACUUGAGGGAAAAAUACAUCUUUCUUAGAGAUUUGAAUUUUAAUGUCCCAGAAAUAUAAAGAAGAUGGCAUUAAAAUGUCCUAUAUGUUGGCAGUCCUACCCUGAAGACUUUUUUUGCUUAUCUUUUGUUCUGAGCUACAGUCUUCGCAGAGACUAAAUUAGUGACUGGACAACAGAAGAAAAUAGACCAUCCUGGCUAAAAUGCAUCAGCUUUCUCGAUAAAUAACUGAAAUAAGAAAAGAAAAAGAAAAAAUGUUACUGUCUCCCAAUAACUUGAAUUUGACCUAAAAUGACAGAACUCACCUUUGUAGAAUAUAUCUCUCAACACAAGAUUUGGAUACUGUUUAACUCUUG
rnacentral:lncRNA from 10 species